ACAUUUUGGCAGAAACUAAAGAGGUGCACAAAAACUUUUCGACCAUGUUUUCUUGGAUUGUUGAGGUCUGGAAUCUUUGGACUCACUGUUUUUGAAAAGGAUGUCAAAUUAGUUCAAGUCCAGAGAUGGGAGCAGGGCAAGCUCCUGGAACUUCCGGACCACUCAACUUGAAAGCAACCCUCCCUCCAAACCCUAACACAUAUGGAACAUUUAUGGAGGCUGAGACCUGUUUUAGGUUGUCUUAGGAUCCUCGGAUAUUACAGCAGGAACUUCUGAGCUAUGCAUUCCACAUGUAUUUUAUCUGAUUAUGAGAAAAUGGAAUCCCAAAGAGAUGAAGUGACUUGUCAUAUGGUAGGCUGUAGCUUUUGGGGCCAUGACCCACUCCUGCGUUGACUGUAUCAUUUCUCCUACUGUAGGUGGGGCCUUUAUUUUCCCAACUGGGCCUAGUGUUGUAGGAUUAAACAGGUGCUGUGGAGGAAAGGGAGUAAAGGAGCUUGUCUCAGGCCUGGGGAUUGACUCUCCCUUCUCAGGAUUUCUGCCAAAUUAUAUAAAGCCUUGAGUCACUAGAUCAUGCAACACUCGAAUCAUUUUAGAAACUUUGACUUCCUCAAUCCUGAGAGUGUUAAUUAGCAUGACUCCUCCUCCCCUACCAGUACUGUAAUGGUGUAAUUCUUGUUAAAUGAACACCAUGGCUACUGGGUUAGUAUUCAGAUGGUGUUCCCUAAGUGGUCCCAUAAUACAGUCCCAAGAGAUGAUCUAAAGAGAAAACAAUAAAGUGAGAUUUUAUGAUCAAAUGAGUUUGGGAAAUGACAAAUGAUAUGCUCCUCUCUUGGAGAUUCACAUGCACACAACUUUGAAUGACUUUGUGUAACAGCAUUUCCUAAACAUUCCUGAUCAUAGAACCCUGUGUGUAUCGUGUAACAUUUGUUACAAGUGUUCCAUGAAACAUACUUUGAAAAACCUAGUCAUCUGCUCUGUUGGAUAUAUAUGCUGUAAGUUAAGGCACAGAUACAUAACAGUGUAUUUCUCAGAUUACACACCAAGAACAGAGAGAAGAAAUCUGCUGAAGGGGAGUGUCCUUUUUCGGGUCUUAACCAAGGAGGAAAGCUGCCGGCCAGGAGGUGGGCUGGACACAUGGAAAUGCAAAUCCCCAGGUGGGCACAGGACAAGCCCAGGGCCUCUUGGGCUCUUGAAUUAAGUCUGCUUUGGUAAGAAUAGAAACUCAAAGCUCUUCUCUUUUAAAAUAUAUUGUACACUGAAUUUGUUUCUAAUUUUUUCCUUUGGCAUUUCAUAAAAGCUUUUGAUAGUUCUAGCCUGUUGCAGCUCUACAAAAGGGCACCAAGGGGAGACUUUUGUUCACCAUAAUCUAUCACCAAGCGGAAUAUGCUUUUACAAACAUGUGCUUGAAAAAGUAACAGUGUUUUACUAGUAUAAAGGGAAUGGAUUCUGAUCUGGUGCAGUGGGAAAAAAAUGGCCCUGAUUAGAACAUUGAAGCAGGAACAAGACACUCUUAGGACCAAGCUGACGGAAGCAGGCCCAAUAAUUGAACUGAGAGAUUUCCAAAGGGCAAGAGACUCUCAUCAAGGCAGUCCUGGUGGCUUCCUCAACCUGGACACCCUCUUUGUGGGUCUAAAUUUUGGAGCUGCAUGUUUUAUUUCACAAAGGUGGAAUAAUUGCCUCAGCACAUUCGUGCAAAAGAUACCACAAACUUAGUGACAGCAGCCUUUUACUGGAUGAAAUAUGUCCAUUUCUAGGAUGAGCAAGUUAAAGAGAACAGUCCUUUGUGGUUCCCCAAAGAUUAUAAAACAGAGUCCAAAAUCCUUAGGUCAGUGAUUCUCAAAUGGUGGUUUCUGAACAAGCAGCAUUAGCAUAUCCUGGAACUUCUUAGAAAUGCAAAUUCUAUAGCCUACCCCAGACCAACUGGAUCAGAAACCCUGAGGGGUGGGGACAGCAAGCCCUUCAGGGGAUUCUGACACUAGCUGAAGUUUAAGAACCACUGUCUUAGUAAAGGCUGAAGUUGCUCUAGCUGGUCUGUGCCAACUUUUCCAGCAUCACUGGCUGUUACCUUGAGCCCUGGAUUCUCAAAACCUCUUUCUGUCUUCUUCUGUUUCUGUUUUCUCCUGGUCCUGGCAGGUGUAUUGGCCUUGUCCUUGAUCUAAAACGUUUUAGGCCUAAUUAGGCUAGGAAGAAUGGCGUGCUCCAUGUGGCCAAUGCAGCUCAAUUUUCCUGGCCUCCACUUUGAGUUUUGGUGAUCAUGCACUACCAGUACCAUAAUACUUAACAAACUUUAUCAUUGUCACUCCAGACUCUCAACAGGAGCAGUGAUAUCUGACAUUUUUGGGUCUUUGGACAUAAUACUAUCACAACAGCACAAGCCCUCUGCUUCCACCUCACUCCACAGCCAAACCUAUUGAUGGUAUACCAGAAACCUCCAUGUCAUAUAGCCUUUUCCCACAUGUCUCCUCUAUCUCUGGACAGUUCUUUUCAGUCAUCUUCAAGGGAUGAUCUCCUCGUCUGUCUUUUACAAUUGGCCAUGCCUUUGGUUCUAUUCUCAGCUCUCUUCUAACCAUACAUAUUCUUCCAGGUGAAGUCAUCAAUGUCUACAGCUUCAUCUAUUGCCCCUGUGUGCAGAUGGUGCUUACUCUCCCUUGUGCCUUCCAGACCUGCAUUCCAGCCACCUACCAAACCCCUUUCCUUGGAUGCCAAGAUCGAAUGGAGAUACACCAUAGGAGGAAGACAUGGCCUCGACUCGGAAAUUUGCAACCAAACAAAAAAAAUAUAUCAGCAAGCAGAGAACAGUAUCCCAUACACUGAAUACUUCAAGCGUUAAGUGAACAUGGAGUAAAAUGGAAUUAUUAUUUUUGAAACAACAAAAGUCUUCAGACCGUGGACAAUGUACUCUUUGCCUGUAUUACGGAGAAAGGCGUUCCCUAGGUAAGUAUCAUUCUGUCUUUCAAAACCUUAAAAAUAUCAGAGGGGGCAGAGAAACAACUUUUUCUUCUGACAUUCACCUUUAAAGCAUUGAAUAGAUGCUUAUUAGAGAACUUUUAGAAAAUAUACUUUCUUCUAACUCAGUGAGAUAAUGAGCUCACCAGUAAAGAUCUAGGCCUGCUCACACUAAGAUAUAAGUGGUUUGGAAGAUUGAAAACUAUUUCUGCAGCAUAUAAUUAACUCUAAAAUUAUAUAGGAACAAACGCCAUGCCAUACAAUUUUUUAAUAUCUCUGUCCAAAAUGUAUAAUUUGAUUCUAAUCAUGAGGAAAGGCUAGGUGUGGUGGCUCAUGCCUGUAACCCAGAGCAAAGGAGGCCAAAGUGGGUGAAUUGCUUUAG